rnacentral:rRNA from 1 species
CCUACGGGAGGCAGCAGUGAGGAAUAUUGGUCAAUGGGCGGGAGCCUGAACCAGCCAAGUCGCGUGAGGGAAGACGGUCCUAUGGAUUGUAAACCUCUUUAGGCGGGGAGCAAUUCCGGGCACGUGUGCCCGGAGGGAGAGUACCCGCAGAAUAAGCAUCGGCUAACUCCGUGCCAGCAGCCGCGGUAAUACGUAUGGUGCAAGCGUUAUCCGGAUUUACUGGGUGUAAAGGGAGCGCAGGCGGCGCGUUAAGCCUGGUGUGAAAGCCCGCGGCCCAACCGCGGGACUGCAUUGGGAACUGGCGCGCUGGAGUGGCGGAGGGGUAGGAGGAAUUCCUGGUGGAGCGGUGAAAUGCGUAGAUAUUAGGAGGAACACCAGUGGCGAAGGCGGCCUACUGGACGGUGACUGACGCUGAGGCUCGAAAGCGUGGGGAGCAAACAGGAGUAGAUACCCUUGUAGUC